rnacentral:lncRNA from 13 species
AUGGCAGAAAUCGGGAGUUGUUUCUCAGAUCUGCAAGGAGGAGUAACAGAGGGCCAACUUAUUGGAAUGAAAUGCAGGAAAAAGCAAAUGCAAAACUCUUCAAUUUACGGACAGGGCCCUGCCAAGACACAAUGCAGACUACUUUUUGUCAAGGGAAUAUUCACUGUGUAUGGAUUUGUAUUUGGCUCUGGCACAAGACUUUAUGUGACAGACAACAAGCAUGUACAAAAACCCAAAGUGACGGUCUACCCAGCGUCCAACCCUGAGCCGAAUGGGAAGACCACCCUGCUAUGUCUGGCAAGAGACAUGUUUCCAGACUUAGUCAAGAUCUCAUGGAAGAUGGAGGAUGAAUACAGCAGAACAAUGGAGGUGGCCAAAGCAGAGACGGAACAGCUGGAGCAGAGGGAGGAAGGACAGACGACCAGUAUGAUCAUCAUUGAUAAAGAGAAGAUGUACAGGAACAAAUACAUCUGUUCUGUGGAGCAUGAAUGGGGCAUUCAAGAUGUUGACAUACCAAGGGCUUCCUUCCCCUUCAUGUGCAGUCUGAACCUGGCCUCUCUGGUUUACACAGUGAUGAUAGUGAAGAGCAUGGUGUACUGCUGUGGGCUCUCUCUCCUGCUGCACAACAGGAACAUGGGGAAGUGGACACAACAGAACAAAUAGAAAGGAUACCACCCAGUAUGGAUAAAGAUGUUGUAGGCUGGGAAUAACAUGGAUUUUACAUCCUAUUGAGGUCUAACAUCUCAAUUGUUGGCCUAUUGCCUUAAUUUUUUUAACUUUAUUUUUCAGAUGCUAAAAUAUUGUGAGCCAUAGAUUUCCAUGUCUUCCGAUAACUUAAAAGGACAAUUAUGACAUUAAUUGCAGAACAUUUCAUGUAAAUUGUGUUUCAUUGCUUAAAUGAAAAAUUAAGCCUAAUAUUGCAUUUUUUUAUAACUGUGGAGGCUACCCACUGCAGAAACUUGAAUAAAGGUUAAUUUAAGGUUGUCUGAAUUUUUUUUUAAGCAAAUCUUGAAUAUAGAUCCCUACGAUUCAAAUGUAGACUGUUUUAUGAAAGUUUCCCUUGAGUAUCUGUCAUAGCUUAAAUUAUUUUGUACAAAAUCUGAAUUUGAUUUAUACAAAAAUAUUGUACCUAAAUAUUAUAUUUACCAAUACAUUAUGUAGGCUCAUAAUUUCCAAAUAUGCUAUAUCUCAUUAGCCAAUAUAAUAUUUCGUAACUUGUGUNNNNNNNNNNGGGCCAACUUAUUGGAAUGAAAUG